GCAGAACCCGGGUGCCGGCCAACCUCUGGGGGUGGGAAGAAUCCUGUGAUUUACGCUUAUGUCACGUGACGGCGGGGAGCUUGCUUGCGGCUUGGCCGCUGCGCCAGGAGCCCGGCAGUUCACAGGCAGAGAAUGAAAAUGUAAUUGUCUCCAGCGCAGCCACCCACUACCCGCCACACCUACAAAGAGCGGCAGGGCCUGGAGUGCUUCAGUGGUCCUGAGGAGGUAAAUAUCCUGCCCAUUUUACAGAUGAGACAUCUGAGGUUUCAAGAAUGCAGUGACUUGCCUGGAUCACACAGGAAGUGGCUUAGCCAGCCCAGGUUUGUCUUGUCAACAAAAAUUCAAUUAACAAUCAAAAAGGAAAAAGAGAAUUUUGUUCAAGCCAAACUGAGGGUUGUAACCCAAGAGAGAGACUCUCAGAAGCUCUGAGAACCAUUCUACCUGUUAGAAGUCAAAGGCACAGUCAUAUACAUUUCUAAGACAAAGGAUCAUACAUCAAAAUGACAUACUGACAUUUUACAUGAAGUUCAUCAAAGGCGUGUAGUUCAGGUAAGCACAAAGUGAGCAGGAGGUCACCAUGACCCCUUAAAGAGUUGGGAAAGAAUGCCAGUCUUCUAAGAAGUCACAUUGCUGGCAUCAGAAGAGAAGAAAAAAAAAUGAUCUCCACAGUCAAGUAGGCACUCCCAUCUUUGAGGAGGUCUGGUUAAUGCAAAAUGCAGAUGCACACUGCACACUGCACACUGCAGGGGAGGGAGGAGGCCCAAACUGACAGAGAGAGAAUUUUAAGUUAAAAUUUUCUUGUCCUGCCUUAAAAUGUAAAUUUUAUUUAAUCAGCCUGACCCCCAAGUCUAAGCUCUUGGGACCACCUGCUCCCACCUCUCCGGCUCCAUGGAGGUGGUGGGACUUGGGUUACAGAGGAUGAAGGAGGAGAAACCAGAGAUGGCUCUGAGCAGAGGUGGAGGGUGCAUGGCUCCUUGCAAAGCUCUGUAAUUAAUUUUGUUUUUGUAAUUUUGUUUUAUUUUAUUUUAUUUUAUUUUUUUGACCGCGCUGCACCGCAUACAGGAUCCUAGUUCCCGGACCAGGGAUAGAACCGCACCCCCUGCAGUGGAAGCAUGGAGUCUUAACUACUGGGCCGCCAGGGAAGUCCCUGUUUUACUGUUCUUAAAGAGAGCCCCCCAUAUGGUCAAAGCUUCAGGCGCUGGCUCAGAGGGUGUCUGGGAGAACAGUUGCCCCAUCAUUAGAUUGCAGAGUGUCACUUAGCAAUACCUUAACCCCCAUCCCAGCUCCUGACAGGGUGCCCUGAGGUCCUUCUCAUCAGAUGCACCCCUCUAGCACCAGUGUCUUGUAAAGCAGACCCUGAAAAGCUCUCAAUAGCCUGAGAAAAGCACGGAUGCCCGCCCCUCCCUAUUCAAACUGAACACAGGCUGUCUUUCUGGCCCCUCCGGCUUCUUGCCUCCUCUCCGUGCCCCUCCUCCUUCCCUCUCCUUUUGUCUACUGUCUUCCCAUCUCGCUUUUCCUCACUCGUCCCUCUGCCUCACAGCAGCUGCCUUCCCACCUUAUUCCACAGAGAGUCAGGGCCAAGAGCCUUCCCCGCCCUGGUACAGACUGAGCAGGACACUGAGCCUUGGGGGAACCAGGAGUCCAGCACUCAGGGUCCUGCCUUGUUGGGUCCCCGGCCAGUCACUUCUUCCCUUUGGACAUCAGUUUCCCCACUUCCCAUUUAUGCAUAACCUGGGUCCCGGGCUCCUUGCCCUGAAUCACACCGGCUGCCUCUCCCUCUCUCUGAGUCAGGAAGCAGGUAGACAAGGGGGUCCACCUUGGGAACCUGCCUCCCUUCUCUCUACCUGCCCACCCUGGAGGUAUCUCAGGUGCCGUCACGGGGUCAGCAGGGGAGGCAGGCUUUGGUCCUGGGUCUGAUUGUCCAGAGGCUCAAGGUUCACUGCCCAGACUUUUAGGGCAUCCCCAUGUGGGGUCCCUUAGUGGGGUCCUCUUAACCCCCAAAUCUUUCCCUCCCUCCCUUCCAAGCUGUGACCCUCCCCCAGCUGUUGAUAAGGCCCUCCUUAAAUGCAUCACAGCCUUGCCCUGCUUUGAGCAGAUGUUUAAUAUACGAAACAAAAAUAGCAGUUAUUUUGUGGAAUGGAUCCCCAACAAGCUGAAGCCAUCUGUUUGGGGCAACCCACCCUGGGGCCUAAAACUGCCUGCUGCUUUCCUUGGAAGAGCACAGCCAGCCCAAGGGCAGUCUGAGCACAUGUAUAAGCAGCUCUCUGCCCUGUUUUGUUGAAAGGCUGCAAACACCCCCUGUGCCCCUAGUCCUCCGGCUGAUGGGGCCUCACGGAGGAGGAGAGGAAGCAGGACUUUGCAUUCUGCAUCCUGGGUUACAGCUUGCUUUU